UACGUAGGGGGCAAGCGUUGUCCGGAAUAAUUGGGCGUAAAGGGCGUGUAGGCGGUAACUUAAGUCAGGUUUGAAAGGCUGGGGCUCAACCCCAGAGCUGGACCUGAAACUGAGAUACUUGAGAGCAGGAGAGGGGAGUGGAAUUCCGGGUGUAGCGGUGGAAUGCGUAGAUAUCCGGAGGAACACCAGUGGCGAAGGCGACUCCCUGGCCUGGGACUGACGCUGAGGCGCGAAAGCGUGGGGAGCAAACAG
rnacentral:rRNA from 1 species